rnacentral:rRNA from 1 species
CAUGCGUGACAUUAGCUAGUUGGUGAGGUAACGGCUCACCAAGGCGACGAUGUUUAGGGGGCCUGAGAGGGUAGUCCCCCACACUGGUAUUGAGACACGGACCAGACUCCUACGGGAGGCAGCAGUGAGGAAUAUUGCGCAGUGGACGAAAGUCUGACGCAGCCAUGCCGCGUGCAGGAUGACGGUCCUAUGGAUUGUAAACUGCUUUUGUAUAGGAAGAAACUUAACUACGUGUAGUUGACUGACGGUACUAUAUGAAUAAGCAUCGGCUAACUCCGUGCCAGCAGCCGCGGUAAUACGGAGGAUGCAAGCGUUAUCCGGAUUUAUUGGGUUUAAAGGGUGCGUAGGCGGAAACUUAAGUCAGUGGUGAAAUCCUGCAGCUUAACUGUAGCACUGCCAUUGAUACUGAGAUUCUUGAGUACGGUUGAGGUAGGCGGAAUGUGUAAUGUAGCGGUGAAAUGCUUAGAUAUUACACAGAACACCGAUUGCGUAGGCAGCUUACCAAGCCGCAACUGACGCUGAGGCACGAAAGCGUGGGGAUCGAACAGGAUUAGAUACCCUGGUAGUCCACGCUGUAAACGAUGAUCACUAGCUGUUGGCGAUAGAUAGUCAGCGGCAAAGCGAAAGCAUUAAGUGAUCCACCUGGGAGUAC